UGAAUCCAUACAUCCAGAUGGUCUGGAGCCUC
rnacentral:piRNA from 1 species